rnacentral:rRNA from 1 species
AAGCAACGCCGCGUGAGUGAAGAAGGUUUUCGGAUCGUAAAACUCUGUUGUUAGAGAAGAACAAGGACGAAAGUAACUGUUCAUCCCUUGACGGUAUCUAACCAGAAAGCCACGGCUUCUACGUGCCAGCAGCCGCGGUAAUAAGCUCGG